rnacentral:rRNA from 1 species
AUGGAUUUAAAACAGCUUAGUGGCGGACGGGUGAGUAACGCGUGGGUAACCUGCCUCACACUGGGGGAUAACAGUUAGAAAUGACUGCUAAUACCGCAUAAAACAGCAGAGUCGCAUGACUCAACUGUCAAAGAUUUAUCGGUGUAAGAUGGACCCGCGUCUGAUUAGCUAGUUGGUGGGGUAAAGGCCUACCAAGGCGAUGAUCAGUAGCUGGUCUGAGAGGACGAUCAGCCACACUGGUACUGAGACACGGACCAAACUCC